GACAGAUAUACAUAUAGGAGGUGUUGAAUAACUCAUGCCGGUUGAAAACUGUUCGAAUUUGUCAUCUGUCAGUUUCGCACGAGGCUGACUUCGAGACGCAUUAUCGCAUUUACCGACCACGUGUUGUUUAUCAAUCAAGUCAUGUAUAAUAUCAAGAAUUUGCGUGUAACUACCGUUCUACUGUACCGAUCCUACCCAAAUUACAUCGUUAUUUGUUAGACGUUCCUAGAUCGAUUAAGAUGCGUCCGAGCUGUCGUGUCAAGUUCGCGUUCCUAUAAAUGUUAGGCUUUUACACAGUUUGUGACUGGCCCUAGCAGAUGAGUUUCGUUUGUGCCUCCAAUUACUCUACGAAGUGAAACGAGCGACCAAACGAAGAAAUCUGUGGCGGUUAUCGGAUAUCCCAUGUAAACGAGGGAGAAGAAAAAGAUAAGUGAUCGAAGGCAUUAGUGGAGGUUAUCGGAUGGGAAAUGCCAAUCGAGGUUAUUCCUUCUUGGAAUGGAGGUUUUUUUUUUUUUUUUGUGCUCAAGAUUGUGUCCGGAAGCUUGUACGAGAAGAGAAGAAGCCUGCAAAAGGUGUGUCUUUUGCUGAUACCAUGACAAGAAACUCGUCAUGGACAACAAGUGGAUGUCUGCACCGAUCCUGAUUGUUUGGAGACGAGUGCCAUUGUUAGUGUAGCGUCAGUGAGAUACAGUGUGCGAAUCGGACUGUGAAAUGCAUGAUACAUUGGUUAACAAAUGAAAUUAAGACAAGUUUCUCUAUGCGAUUGGUGUAACUAUGUAUGUUUUGUCGCCUAGGUGUGAGUGAACCUUUUGCAUUCAAGGCCUUUUCUUUUUUCUCUUUUGUAGUAUGUAUCAACAACUCUAGAAUGCUUUCUUAGCUUUGUAAAAUGUAAAUGCAAAGCCAUAUAUUAGCUUGGAAGUUGUACGAUUGCAAUUAAUUUAACAUUUAAUAAUCAAGUUUCCUUUACCUGUCACAGAAUUAUAUGAUUAGUAAUUGGAAUUACAUUGAAAAUUAGACCUUGUAACCAUUAUCUACCUUGAGAUUUACUGCAUCAAGGUAGAUAGUCACAAGUCACUUUUUUUUUUUUUUAAUCUUUAAGACAACACGUUGUACACCCUUUGAUAGAAGCAUGUAUUAGUACGUUGCAGUGUACAAUGUGAUAUUUAUUGGUGAAGAUUCAAUUUAAUGUACCUGAAUACGUAUUGUAACCUAACCUAUGAGUGUAUAGCGAAUGAAUUUGUCCUAUUUGUUGUCAUUGGACCGACUGCCUAUUUAAAUGAACAUGUGAUUGUGUGGCAGGUUACCUAACCCAUAACCAAACGAAGCCUUUGUCUGAAAAGGAAAUUUGUUGCUAUUAACCCUCUGCACUCUGCGUAUAAGAAAGGCACUACAUUAAAAAGCACAUAACUUUGUAUACUAUUUAAUCUUAUAGUAUAUUUAUAUUUAUAAGUAGUAUAGAGCAUAUAUAUAUAUAUAUAAAUAAAGUUAUAGCGUAUAACUUUGUAAAUGUGUCUUUGGUUGGUGCGAUGAUUAUAUGAUUAUUACUUCUUUUAAAUAUAUAUCACGUAUCGUAAUAUAUGUAUUCAAUAUAUUACGAUAUGUGUAAUCUAUAUCCCAUGGGGGCAUAAGUAACAUAUAUAUGGAGUAACUUUAUACUUGGUAGUAAAUCCUAAAUGGAAUUCAUAUUCUCUCCUACUAAUAAAUCAAGUGACAAGGAUUCAA